AACAUCGCGCACCUGCGGGAACCUGCGGAAGGAUCAUUAAUGAUUGGUGGCUGUUGCUGACUAGUGUUUCUAGUAUGUGCACGCCACACCUUCAAUCCCACUUACAUCUGUGCACCUUCUGUAAUAGAUCUAUGUGGAUACGGAGAUAUGAAAGUUUGCGCUCUCGUACUCUGUUGAAGCAGUCUACUACGUUUUUUUACACACACACAAUAGUCAUUGAAUGUAUUUUUUAUUCUUAUG
rnacentral:misc_RNA from 1 species